rnacentral:rRNA from 1 species
AUGGUCGAGAGCGCCGCCGCUGCCGGGCAAUCAUCCUCGGCGAGGAAGUCUGGGGUGCCGGUGUUCGUGAUGAUGCCGCUGGACACGGUCAAGACAUGCUGCGGGAGCGGUCUGAACCACCGGAAGACCAUGGCGCGGGAUCUGGCGGCUCUCAAGAGCUCGGGCGUGGAGGGAAUCAUGGUGGACGUGUGGUGGGGCGUCGUGGAGGGCGAGGAGCCGGGGCUGUACAACUUCGAAGGGUACAUGAAGCUCGUCGAGAUGGCGCGCGAUGCCAGGCUCAAGGUCCAGGCCGUCAUGUCCUUCCACCAGUGCGGCGGCAACGUCGGUGACACCGUCAACAUCCCGCUGCCGCGGUGGGUGGUGGAGGAGAUGGACAAAGACCAGGACCUCGCCUACACUGACCAAUGCGGACGCCGCAGCUACGAGUACGUGUCGCUCGGCUGCGACGACAUGCCCGUCCUCGACGGACGCACGCCCAUCCGGUGCUACACCGACUUCAUGCGCGCCUUUCGCGACCAUUUCGCCGCCUUCCUCGGGGACGCCACCGAUCGCGCGCAUGCUGGGCCGCCACGGCGCCGUGCUCAACUUCACCUGCGUGGAGAUGCGCGACCAGGAGCAGCCACGGGACGCGCGGUGCCGUCCCGAGGGCCUGGUGCGGCGCGUGGCCGCGGCCGCCCGCGAGGCCGGCGUCCGCCUGGCCGGUGA